rnacentral:rRNA from 1 species
CCUACGGGAGGCAGCAGUGAGGAAUAUUGGUCAAUGGGCGGAAGCCUGAACCAGCCAAGCCGCGUGAGGGAAGAAGGUCCAGCGUAUCGUAAACCUCUUUUGUCAGGGAACAAAGGCGGUGACUAGUCCCCGGAUGAGGGUACCUGAAGAAAAAGCAUCGGCUAACUCCGUGCCAGCAGCCGCGGUAAUACGGAGGGUGCGAGCGUUAUCCGGUUUUAUUGGGUUUAAGGGGUGCACGGGCGGCCUGUUAAGUUAGCGGUAAAAGCCCGGGGCUAAACCCGGGCGAGCCGUGGAAACUGGCGAGCUGGAGUGGGAGAGAAGUAUGCGGAAUGCGAGGUGUAGCGGUGAAAUGCUUAGAUAUCGCGCAGAACCCCGAUUGCGAAGGCAGCGUACCGGCGCCAAACUGACGCUGAGGCACGAAAGCGUGGGUAUCGAACAGGAUUAGAUACCCCUGUAGUC